CCGCCCCCUGCCAACCCCUUGUCCCUGCCCCCUGUUCCAUCGGUAUCCCCGCCCCCUCCCCAGGUUCCCACAGUGGGGGCAUGCCCGCUGCUUGUCUCCAUAGCUGCACCUGUGAUCCCAAUGCUUCCGAUUCAAAGGAUACAGGGCAGGGAACCACAGACCCAAUACAGGGUCCCACUUUCUCAUUUGCCCCUGUUACAUAUCAGCAUGCAGGGUAAGACUGCUGAUUGGAAAGCUUUUUCACAACAAAUAUUGAAAGAAAUCUGCAAAGCACACAAAGAGUAUGGCCAACAUAGCCCAUACUUCUGUGGCCUUUUAAAUGCUGAACUAGGUAGGACUGUAGUGGUCCCACAUGAUUUAAAACAGCUUUUUUCGUGCCUCAUGACCUCUACAGGAUUCCAAUUGUGGGAAUUGGCAUGGAAACAACUGCUAAAAGAGGGUCUCCCAGACUUGCAUGCUGAUCCAAAACCAGCAAAAGAUGCCAAUGGCUUGCCAAUUACCAUUGAGCAUCUCCCUGGUGAAGGCCAAUGGUCUUUAGCCCCGAUCCAAACUGCAGUAAUUCCUGUAGAAGCACUUGACAGAGUCAAAGACGCUGCUGAAAAAGUCUUCUUUACCCUCCAACCUGAAGGCCCAUAUGAGCCAUAUAGUAAGAUCAGGCAGCUACCAUCAGAGCCUUUUUUGAAAUUUGUAGAAAGGUUAACUAGGGCUAUUGAAAUACAAGUUAAAAAAGACAAUGCAAAGGAAGAGAUUUUAGAGGAAAUGGCAUUUACAAAUGCAAAUGAACAGUGACGAGCGGCAAUUUUAAGCUUGCCUCUAGAACCCCCCCUACACUAAAAGAUAUGCUUCUAGUUUGUAACAGGAAAGUGCAUCUGAUGAGUGUUGCUGAAGACACCAGACCAAAGCUGCUGCCAAGACCACCACAGCGAGUCGCCGUUGCCAGCCCUGUGCCCAUUCCCUCAGCACAGCAGCACCCUGGGCAGCAGCGAAGACCAGUAAUGGUUGACCCCACAAAGCCAUGCCUGCUUUGCAACAACCUUGGGCACUGGAGUAACCAUUGCCCCCUAAAAAAGCAAUUUGAUGAAUUUAAAAAUAGCAGGGGAGGAGAACUACAAGCACUCCCAGGGGGUCAACAACAGCAAAAAAACUGAAAAGGGAGUGCAGGGCUGCCAGGCGCACAGACACGAAAAGAGCAGGCCAAGAGAAUGAGGGAAACAAAAAAGACCAAGCGUCUGGUAACAUUUCUAUUUCUCUAAAUGGAGUAGAUGCUUCAAGGACCACCUUUGCUGGUCCAGUAUCAGAUGUGACACCAAAUAACCUUUGCUCUGAAUUAAGCAAACCUGUUCUAACCCCUAUUUCUGUCAAUGAGCCUUUCAGACUGCAGCUGACAGAACCACUCCACCUGAAAGACAGUGACUGGCAUCUUGUCUCCGUCGACCCACAACAGCAGGGUACUUGGCACCAAAAUCACUCCUGAAUCCGCCCAUCGUACACCAUUUUGGGGGGAGCAGUCGGAUGUCAAUGAAAGAAAAGCCUCCAGUCUUAGUAAAGGACCCUGAGACUUGGAAGACAGUGGGACCUUACAAUUUAGUUACAUGGGGACGUGGAUAUGCCUGUGUGUCCACCCCCUUGGGUUUAAAGUGGGCUCCUUACAAAUGGGUAAGGCCCUACGUCCCCAAGCUCUCAGGGAAGUCUACAGAAGCGCCCCAGGUUGCUAAUGCUGCCUGGAGAAGAAAACGCCAUGCACAUUCCCUGGAAGAAAUUCCAUUUAAGCCUCCUAUCUGGAAUAGUUUGUAAUAUAUGUUUGUCUUAAGUUCCUUGUACCAGAUCCCGCUGGUCAUGUACAGUCUCAAGACACCAUGAAACUGAGUCUGCUCCUCAUCCUACUCGCAAUCAUUCCACCAGCGAUCUCCUGCAUAGUCCCUCAGCCCAAAGCAAACGCAUGGAUCACCUUGAAAUUACGACAUCAAGAGAGAAACAGACAACUGGCUGAGGGGACUGUUCAAAAGCUGGGGACUCUCAGGCUGGUUGGGAUCACUGGUUCUGAAAACUGUUUUUAGUACCGUUCAUUUUAGUUAUUGUUAUUGUGGUUGUUAGCAUUGUUUUUGGGCUGAUCAAGCACAUAGUUUACAAGUUAAUUUCAAGGUCAUCUUCCCCUCUUGAAGUCUACCAUUUGGAAGUCCUUAGUGCUCCAAUGGAUGACAUGGAAACCUCAGUGGAAAACACUGACCCACCUGAAGAGGAGGAACCAAUUUACCAACCAUGGUUUGGCAAGCAUUCUGUGCCCCAAACCCAGUCCUCUUAAUUUUAAACAAAACAAGGGGGAGAUGUUGCAGUGUGAUGUCAUAGUUUGUCUCAGGUAUCCUGAUCCUUCCCAGGUGCCAAUCAACUCUCCUUUUCCCCACCCUGACCCCUGCUGAGUGCUGUCUGUCAAUCCUAGCAUUCCAGAAGGGCGUUGAGUGAUUGGCAGAGUUCAAAAGAUGCCUUGCAUGCCUGGGGGCCAUUGGCCCCUUUCACCUGAGACCUUCCCGCCCUGAACCUGGUUGAUGGGAUCCCUACCCCUUCCUACCCCCUCUCCCUGGGGUUAAAAGAGCCAGCAACCACGCGGUUCGAGGUUCUGUCAGAGCUGAUUCAGAAGCUUGUGGGUCAGAAUAAAACUCUGGAUCGAAACCCUC